GCAGCCAGGAAGGGAGGAAGGAUGGGGAGCCCACCCGGGAGGCCGCCAUAAGCCAAGGCAGCGGAGCAAGAGGCGGAGGCGGAGGAGGAGGGAAGCCCGAGGCCAAGGCCCUCCAGACCGAGAGGCUCUACUGGUGAGGAGCAGGAAGAGAGAGAGAGACCCCAAGGGCUGCGGCGUGCCAGGGAUGGCCUUGCUGAGGCAUUUUGGGAGUCGUAGUUUUUAAUUUUAUUAUUUUAAUUUUAUACCCGGCGUAAUAGACGACCCCCAACUUUUUAUAAGAUUUUCCAAGCCUAAAAAGUCGUCUAGUACCCUGGAAUAUACAGUAGGUCCAGGUCCCGGUCUUACUAUCUAUAAAUGAAAGGCAUCCGUGGAAGUUAAUUUGAAGACCAUGAAUAUAUGCCCUAGAGUUCUGUUGAUCUGGAAUUAAUGUAUCUAUUAAACCAAUUAGAGUAUGAUCAAUGUUUACUUGUUUGUAUUGGUUUCAUGCUGCGGGUUGUCUCAGGAAGACUAGAAAGGAUGUUUUUGUUUGUCCAGCAAGCGCUGAAAAAGUUUCUGAAAAGUAUGGAAAACUGUCCAUCUGUCUUUGAAGACCCGUAGCAAACUAAUCCACAAUGGGUUUUCCCUCCAU